UACGAAGGGUGCAAGCGUUAAUCGGAAUUACUGGGCGUAAAGGGUGCGUAGGCGGUUAUUUAGGUCUGCCGUGAAAUCCCCGGGCUCAACCUGGGAAUGGCGGUGGAUACUGGAUAGCUAGAGUGUGUCAGAGGAUGGUGCAAUUCCCGGUGUAGCGGUGAAAUGCGUAGAGAUCGGGAGGAACAUCAGUGGCGAAGGCGGCCAUCUGGGACAACACUGACGCUGAAGCACGAAAGCGUGGGGAGCAAACAGG
rnacentral:rRNA from 1 species